CCUACGGGUGGCUGUAGUGAGGAAUAUUGGUCAAUGGGCGCGAGCCUGAACCAGCCAAGUAGCGUGAAGGAUGACUGCCCUACGGGUUGUAAACUUCUUUUAUAAAGGAAUAAAGUGAGGCACGUGUGCCUUUUUGUAUGUGCUUUAUGAGUAAGGAUAGGCUAACUCCGUGCCAGCAGCGCCGGUAAUACGGGGGAUCCGAGCGUUAUCCGGGUUUAUUGGGUUUAAAGGGAGCGUAUAUGGGUUGUUAAGUCAGUUGUGAAAGUUUGCGGCUCAACCGUAAAAUUGCAAUUGAUACUGGAAGCCUUGAGUGAAGUUAAGGUAGGCGGAAUUCGUGGUGUAGCGGUGAAAUGCUUAGAUAUCACGAAGAACUCCGAUCGCGAAGGCAGCUUACUAAAGUGCAACUGACAUUGAUGCUCGAAAGUGUGGGUAUCAAACAGGAUUAGAUACCCUUGUAGUC
rnacentral:rRNA from 1 species